CCUGGCGGCACUAGCGCGGUGGUCCCACCUGACCCCAUGCCGAACUCAGAAGUGAAACGCCGUAGCGCCGAUGGUAGUGUGGGGUCUCCCCAUGUGAGAGUAGGGAAUCGCCAGGC
rnacentral:rRNA from 4 species